rnacentral:rRNA from 1 species
GACGAACGCUGGCGGCGUGCUUAACACAUGCAAGUCGAACGGAAAGGCCCUGCUUUUGUGGGGUGCUCGAGUGGCGAACGGGUGAGUAACACGUGAGUAACCUGACCUUGACUUUGGGAUAACUUCAGGAAACUGGGGCUAAUACCGGAUAGGAGCUCCUGCUGCAUGGUGGGGGUUGGAAAGUUUCGGCGGGUGGGGAUGGACGCGCGGCUUAUCAGCUUGUUGGUGGGGUAGUGGCUUACCAAGGCUUUGACGGGUAGCCGGCCUGAGAGGGUGACCGGCCACAUUGGGACUGCGAUACGGCCCAGACUCCUACGGGAGGCAGCAGUGGGGAAUAUUGCACAAUGGGCGGAAGCCUGAUGCAGCAACGCCGCGUGCGGGAUGACGGCCUUCGGGUUGUAAACCGCUUUCGCCUGUGACGAAGCGUGAGUGACGGUAAUGGGUAAAGAAGCACCGGCUAACUACGUG